GACAUUAUUAGGAGCACCUGCUCAAUGUAAUGCAGUUUACUUCAGCAGCAGGAAGCAUCUGAUUGUGGACCCCUCUGCUACUGGCAUGAAAUACACAAUGUGGGACGGGCGGUGGAUGUGUGUGUGUGUGUGUGUGUGUGUGUGUGUGUGUCAGAAUUCAAAGCCAAUCGCGUCAGAGCCUGUUUCUCAUUUCAGUGUCCACAUGAAGACUUUGAUAACCUCCGGUCCGCUCAUCUCAUUCAUCUCUAAUCCACUCUCCACCCCCUGAGCCCGCCCGGCCGGGGCAGAUGGCAGCUGACCCUGUGCAGUAAACUGAACACGCUCCACCUGAUGAAACCUCUCAGGGCUCGGAGUGAUUGUGAGAGUGACAUCAUCCCCCCCGCGGUCGACGCCCUCCUCCGGCAGCGUUUCACUCACGCCUGACUCGUUUGUUUUCGUUGACGUCCGACCACUUGAGCCCCGGUCCCGCAGACGCCGGCUUCACGCCGGAGCUCCGCUUUCUAAUGGAGUGCGUGGCAUUUCCUGCCUCGCUCACACGCCCGCAUGCUGUCAGUCACCACAGCCUGAAGUGCAGCCUUCAGCCUGGCACCUGUCGUCUGCGGCCAGCGAGGCGGUACCGGGCCCGACCUUCAGCCUGCGCGGCCGGUACCUCGGUCCAGCCGCGUCCAGCCGCGUCCAGCCGCACCGGCGCGUAGGUCGCACGCCUUAAAGUCACAACCAGUCGACCCCCACGCGGCCCCAUUCUUGGAUUUCACGGCAGUCUAAUGCAUGCGCUCCGGUCGCAGCCGUCUUCCCCGCGAUGGUGCCGGUGAUUUAUUUCAGCCCAAAGCCACUGUUCACACCCCGAGAAGCUGAUGGGAAAAACAACUGUCUUCCGCCCGCACCGACGCGGCUCAGCGCAGUAACGAGGUUGACGCCCACCCUGGAGAGUGGAAGCGGGGCCAGUUGUCUCGCUGCUGACGGAUCUCCGCUCCGCAACAUAAAUAAUGCGAGGCUGAAUAAUGCUGGCGGCGCUCCAGCACGGCUAAAUUGAAAACCUUACCAUCAGAAACAACUCCCCGCUUUGCAGCCUCCUGGACUGGACGUCAGGGUGUCGGGGACCAGCUGACCAUCAGCGCCGACCUUGUAAUCGGACUCUUCGUAACGAACGGUGACAUUCUAGCACAAGAACAUAACCCAAGAACCGGCUUUGAUCAACACAGGCCAACAUUUACUGAGUUAGCAGCUAUGUAAAAACACACAGGGCAUUACAAGGACAUGUAACGGUCAGCAUUAAAGUAUCCCUGACUUUAUUCAACAGUUUGUUCAGUCAUGUCACAAAAACAAAAACACUCUCUGGCAUAAAGCUGUGAAAUUAAGUCCAACAGAACACAUCCCUACGCGUCUGUGUCGCGAUUAAAACCCACCGAUCAAAGAAACUAACCUCCACCUGCCCACUUCACAGUUUUCAUGUAUUCACAUCCUGGUGGAAACGGACAGAAACGACACCAGAGUGCAACGAUUCACAUUUAAUGCCCUGGGCUUUAUUGUCUUAUUUUAGUGAGAAUUCUGUCACAUUUUUUAGUCUUUUCAGCCUCCAGGUGGGACAAGUAAACCAAGGAUAUAUCCUGCCAUUGGACUGGGCAUUCAGAUUGACAAAGACAAGAAGCACUACUAGGUAAUGCUGCCUUUGUGCCUAACUCUUCACAGAAGAGAGUACAUUAAAUUCCCCAAAGGAAGGCACCCAAUACUUGUGGUUUUUGGCCUUGCAGCCGUCUGGAGAUUCUUUUUUCAAAGAAAAAAAAAGAAAACAAAAUGAACGUAAAGGA